GACGAACGCUGGCGGCGUGCUUAACACAUGCAAGUCGAACGGAAAGGCCCUGCUUUUGUGGGUUGCUCGAUUGGCGAACGGGUGAGUAACACGUGAGUAACCUGCCCUUGACUUUGGGAUAACUUCAGGAAACUGGGGCUAAUACCGGAUAGGAGCUCCUGCUGCAUGGUGGUGGUUGGAAAGCUUCGGCGGUUGGGGAUGGACUCGCGGCUUAUCAGCUUGUUGGUGGGGUAGUGGCUUACCAAGGCUUUGACGGGUAGCCGGCCUGAGAGGGUGACCGGCCACAUUGGGACUGAGAUACGGCCCAGACUCCUACGGGAGGCAGCAGUGGGGAAUAUUGCACAAUGGGCGGAAGCCUGAUGCAGCAACGCCGCGUGCGGGAUGACGGCCUUCGGGUUGUAAACCGCUUUCGCCUGUGACGAAGCGUGAGUGACGGUAAUGGGUAAAGAAGCACCGGCUAACUACGUG
rnacentral:rRNA from 1 species